CCUACGGGUGGCAGCAGUGGGGAAUUUUGGACAAUGGGCGCAAGCCUGAUCCAGCUAUUCCGCGUGUGGGAAGACGGCCUUCGGGUUGUAAACCACUUUUGUAGAGAACGAAAAGUCUGUUGAUAAUACCUAUAGAUGAUGACGGUACUCUAAGAAUAAGCACCGGCUAACUACGUGCCAGCAGCCGCGGUAAUACGUAGGGUGCGAGCGUUAAUCGGAAUUACUGGGCGUAAAGGGUGUGCAGGCGGUUUUGGAAGAUGGAUGUGAAAGCCCCGGGCUUAACCUGGGAAAGCCAUACAUGACUGGAAGACUAGAGUGCGUCAGAGGGGGGUGGAAGUCCAAGUGUAGCAGUGAAAUGCGUAGAUAUUUGGAAGAACACCGAUGGCGAAGGCAGCCCCCUGGGACACAACUGACGCUCAGACACGAAAGCGUGGGGAGCAAACAGGAUUAGAUACCCGAGUAGUC
rnacentral:rRNA from 1 species